rnacentral:tRNA from 1 species
GCGGGCGUUGUAUAGUGGUAAUACCUCAGCCUUCCAAGCUGAUGACGAGGGUUCGAUUCCCUUCGCCCGCUCCA